GAUGAACGCUGGCGGCGCGCCUAACACAUGCAAGUCGAACGAUUAAAGCACCUUCGGGUGUGUAUAAAGUGGCGAACGGCUGAGUAACACGUGGGCAACCUGCCCCUUUCAUUGGGAUAGCCACGGGAAACCGUGGAUAAUACCGAAUACUUCGAGACUUCCGCAUGGAAGACUCGAGAAAGCUCCGGCGGAGAGGGAUGGGCCCGCGGCCUGUUAGCUUGUUGGUGGGGUAACGGCCUACCAAGGCAAUGAUGGGUAGCUGGGUUGAGAGACCGACCAGCCAGAUUGGGACUGAGACGCGGCCCAGACUCCUACGGGAGGCAGCAGUGGGGAAUCUUGCACAAUGGGCGAAAGCCUGAUGCAGCGACGCCGCGUGCGGGAUGAAGGCCUUCGGGUUGUAAACCGCUUUCAGCAGGGACGAGGCGAAAGUGACGGUACCUGCAGAAGAAGCCCCGGCUAACUACGUG
rnacentral:rRNA from 1 species